rnacentral:rRNA from 1 species
GAUAUCUGGUUUGAGCCACUCAGCCCAUCGCAGUUAUGUGAUUGUGUGCCGGGUGGACUCUACCAUCCUUCUAGUUGUCAAAUUUGGAAGAUUUCGGUCUUCUCAAAUUUUGUGACUAGAUCUUUUACUUUGAAAAAAUUAGAGUGUUUAAAGCAGGCUAUAUUUGCUAUGAAUAGAUUAGCAUGGAAUAAUAAUUUAGGACUUCGGUUCUAUUUUGUUGGUUUCUAUAACUGAAGUAAUGAUUGAUAGGGAUAGUUGGGGGUGCUAGUAUUGGCCGGCCAGAGGUGAAAUUCUUGGAUUCGGUCAAGACUAACUUAUGCGAAAGCAUU